rnacentral:piRNA from 1 species
UAAAGGAGCUUGCUACCAAACCUUAGGUAG